GAUGAAGAACGCAGCGAAAUGCGAUACGUGAUGUGAAUUGCAAAUUCAGUGAAUCAUCGAGUCUUUGAACGCACAUUGCGCCCCCUGGUAUUCCGGGGGGCAUGCCUGUCCGAGCGUCAUUGCUGCCCUCAAGCACGGCUUGUGUGUUGGGCCCCGUCCUCCGAUCCCGGGGGACGGGCCCGAAAGGCAGCGGCGGCACCGCGUCCGGUCCUCGAGCGUAUGGGGCUUUGUCACCCGCUCUGUAGGCCCGGCCGGCGCUUGCCGAUCAACCCAAAUUUUUAUCCAGGUUGACCUCGGAUCAGGUAGGGAUACCCGCUGAACUUAAGCAUAUCAAUAAGCGGAGGA
rnacentral:misc_RNA from 1 species